CUAUUAUAUUUUCCCCUACCAGGUAGAUCACUGUGUCUUCCCUUGUUCAUUGAGUCUAUGUAUUAUACCUUCUCUACCAUUUAUUGAAUGAAUACUAUCCACAUACCACAUUUACCUUCCUGGGUUUGAGUGACCUCAAGAUGAUAUGUUUUCUAGUUCAAUCGAUUUGCCUGCAAAUUUCAUGGCACCAUUUUUUUUUCUAACAGCUGAAUAAUACUCCAUUGUUCUCAUUUAUCGUUUGGCAAGAGGAGGGGACCAAUCUCCACUAAUUAAUAAUUCAAGAAACUGCCUUGGCAUGCUCCAGUGAAGAGAGAAGAUACCUGGGGUGAGGAUGAUAGAAACAUCUUUAUGGGAGAAAACUAAUAAAGAUCACAGUCCUAAGAUAUAGGCAAAAUGAA